GUAAACUACUUUGAAUGAUGAGCAGAGGUGUACGAUCACACAGCAGUUACUCUGGUGUUUGACAACUGUAUGCAAAUCUUUACAGCUUUACCCCAGCUGUGCCUGCCGUUGAGUUCGCUGAUCAUGCAUGACCAAAAAAAAAAUCUGUUUUGCUUUACAGACCUGCAGUUAUCUCACAUUGCUGCGAAUUAGUCACUUGGCUGCCCAUCAUUUUGGAGGGAAUAUAAAAUAAUGAAUAAGAAACUACAAUAAUCCUUUGACUUAUCAACCACACGACUAUGUGCAAAUUUCAAUAAAAAUGCACUUCAAUGCUUUAUAUCGUGGUUUGGGGGCAUAACAAAGUCAUAUUGUGCAACUAGACACUGAGGUUGUUUAUUUUUUUUUAUUUUUUAUUUUUUUACAUGGACUGAAAUUUGUUUUAAGGUUGUCAAUCAAGACCAUAGGGG